GAGAGAGGCUCGCUAGCAAUGAAUACUGCUAAUCUUCGCUUCCUCAGUUGAACUCUGGGGCUCACUCA
rnacentral:tRNA from 1 species